rnacentral:misc_RNA from 1 species
UUGAUUUUAGUUAUUUGUGAAACGUACUACGAAACAAACAAAAAAAAAUAUUAUAGUCAAAAAAAAAAUUAAAUCAA